rnacentral:rRNA from 2 species
CAAGCGUUAAUCGGAAUUACUGGGCGUAAAGCGCACGCAGGCGGUCUGUCAAGUCGGAUGUGAAAUCCCCGGGCUCAACCUGGGAACUGCAUUCGAAACUGGCAGGCUUGAGUCUUGUAGAGGGGGGUAGAAUUCCAGGUGUAGCGGUGAAAUGCGUAGAGAUCUGGAGGAAUACCGGUGGCGAAGGCGGCCCCCUGGACAAAGACUGACGCUCAGGUGCGAAAGCGUGGGGAGCAAACAGGAUUAGAUACCCUGGUAGUCCACGCCGUAAACGAUGUCUACUUGGAGGUUGUGCCCUUGAGGCGUGGCUUCCGGAGCUAACGCGUUAAGUAGACCGCCUGGGGAGUACGGCCGCAAGGUUAAAACUCAAAUGAAUUGACGGGGGCCCGCACAAGCGGUGGAGCAUGUGGUUUAAUUCGAUGCAACGCGAAGAACC